rnacentral:rRNA from 1 species
AGAGUUUGAUCAUGGCUCAGAGCGAACGCUGGCGGCGUGCCUAACACAUGCAAGUCGAACGCGAAAGGGGGGGCAACUCCCCGAGUAGAGUGGCGCACGGGUGAGUAACGCGUGGGUAAUCUGCCCUCGAGUGGGGAAUAACCUCGCGAAAGCGGGGCUAAUACCGCAUAACACCUCUUCCUCUUCGGAGGAGGGGAUCAAAGAUGGCCUCUGCAUGCAAGCUGUCGCUUGAGGAGGAGCCCGCGUCCCAUUAGCUAGUUGGUAGGGUAACGGCCUACCAAGGCUACGAUGGGUAGCCGGCCUGAGAGGGUGUCCGGCCACACUGGAACUGAGACACGGUCCAGACUCCUACGGGAGGCAGCAGUGAGGAAUAUUGCGCAAUGGGCGAAAGCCUGACGCAGCGACGCCGCGUGGAGGAUGAAGGCCUUCGGGUCGUAAACUCCUGUCGAGGGGGACGAAAUGGUCCCUUGCAAAUAACAUGGGAUCUUGACGGUACCCCUGGAGGAAGCCCCGGCUAACUCCGUGCCAGCAGCCGCGGUA